rnacentral:lncRNA from 1 species
AUGACCAAGAUGAAGAAGAAGAAGACGGCCGCGGUGAUGAUGAUCGUGACGCCCCGGCCGACCAUGACGACCGUGCCCGCGGCGGGAGAAGAGGCCGCCGGGGGCACAACAACGACCACCCCAGGGCUAAUCAAAACUGGCGGCGCAGGGAUCGAGAUGACGACGAUCGGGACGAACGGGGACGAGACUUCGGGCGCGGCCGCGGCGAACAACGUGCGAUUGAUCAAGACUACCGCCGUGAACGCACACGCCCCCCGCGCCAACGCGACAGGGGAUGGCACAGUCGCCAUGGCGGCCGGCGUCAUCACGCUGGUGCAACUGACGUGGACAACGUCAUCGACCCUGUCCACCCCGAGCCACACCUGGCAGAGAUCUCUCUGCCUUCCCGCCAGCAGGAGCUUCACACCGAGGACGCAGGAAAUCCCGGCGAGCCCUCCGACUUUAACUGGUGAUCAGUUGCUUCGCCUCGCGCUUGUCGCUGAUAAGGCCAUGACUGCGCCACCUCCGACGGCAACAGAGGACCUGGCCAUCCGGUCUUUUACUGGGACUGAAGCCUGGUUCGGCGGCAUGGCAUGGAAGCCGGUGCGUGUUGCGCGCGUCUUUGGCCGCAUCAGGGAGGCCUUGCCGGCCACGCUAGCGGUUGAAACGCUGACAACCUGCCAGCAAAUUGAGGAGGCGCUGAUGCACCUUGAGCUGGCUGUCGCUGUAGCUCGCACCCUAGGCGAUGACACUCUCCUACCACAGCCCAUGUCACCGGCACCUCUCGCUGCGUCCCCGCCUCGCCGCUUGGAAGAUCUGGCCAGCGACGCUGCGGCCGACAAGAUUCUGCCGGCGCCGCUCCCCAGGGCGCUGCUUCCCCAAGAGAUGACCCCGAUGCCAGCCACCCCGCCCCCGUCGGCGCUGGAGCCGGGCUCGCUGCCGGAACCUGGUGUGUCGCCGGUGGCCUGCGUGCCGCCUCCCCAGCAUUUCUAUGGAACCUCAGCUCUUGGAGCACAUGUC